AGAGUUUGAUCCUGGCUCAGAACGAACGCUGGCGGCAUGCCUAACACAUGCAAGUCGAACGGAAAUGCUUAGCUUGCUUUGCAUUUUAGUGGCGGACGGGUGAGUAACGCGUGGGGACCUGCCCUGGAGUGGGGAACAACGACGGGAAACUGUCGCUAAUACCGCAUACGCCCUGAGGGGGAAAGGCUUCGGCCGCUCUAGGAUGGACCCGCGUCGGAUUAGCUAGUUGGUGGGGUAACGGCCUACCAAGGCGACGAUCCGUAGCUGGUCUGAGAGGAUGAUCAGCCACACUGGGACUGAGACACGGCCCAGACUCCUACGGGAGGCAGCAGUGGGGAAUAUUGGACAAUGGGGGAAACCCUGAUCCAGCAAUGCCGCGUGUGUGAAGAAGGCCUUAGGGUUGUAAAGCACUUUCACCCGCGAAGAUGAUGACGUAGCGGAGAAGAAGCC
rnacentral:rRNA from 1 species